rnacentral:rRNA from 1 species
UGGGGAAUAUUGCACAAUGGGCGAAAGCCUGAUGCAGCAACGCCGCGUGAGUGAUGAAGGUCUUCGGAUUGUAAAGCUCUGUCUUUUGGGACGAUAAUGACGGUACCAAAGGAGGAAGCCACGGCUAACUACGUGCCAGCAGCCGCGGUAAUACGUAGGUGGCGAGCGUUGUCCGGAUUUACUGGGCGUAAAGGGUGCGUAGGCGGAUGUUUAAGUGAGAUGUGAAAUACCCGGGCUUAACUUGGGUGCUGCAUUUCAAACUGGAUAUCUAGAGUGCAGGAGAGGAGAAUGGAAUUCCUAGUGUAGCGGUGAAAUGCGUAGAGAUUAGGAAGAACACCAGUGGCGAAGGCGAUUCUCUGGACUGUAACUGACGCUGAGGCACGAAAGCGUGGGUAGCAAACAGGAUUAGAUACCCUGGUAGUCCACGCCGUAAAACGAUGAGUACUAGGUGUAGGAGGUAUCGACCCCUUCUGUGCCGCAGUAAACACAUUAAGUACUCCGCCUGGGAAGUACGAUCGCAAGAUUAAAACUCUAAAGUGAAUU